AAAAGCUGAGGAAAAGAAACUAACAAGGAUUCCCCUAGUAACGGCGAGUGAAGAGGGAAAAGCCCAAAUUUGUAAUCUGGCUCUUUUAGAGUCCGAGUUGUAAUUUUGAGAACUGUUUUCCGUGCUGGACCAUGUACAAGUCUGUUGAAAAACAGCAUCAUUGAGGGUGAAAAUCCCGUACAUGAUAUGGACUACCAGUGCAAUGUGAUACAGUCUCUAAGAGUCGAGUUGUUUGGGAAUGCAGCUCAAAGUGGGUGGUAAAUUCCAUCUAAGGCUAAAUAUAGGUGAGAGACCGAUAGCAAACAAGUACCGUGAGGGAAAGAUGAAAAGAACUUUGGAAAGAGAGUUAACAGUACGUGAAAUUGUUAAAAGGGAAACAUUUGAAGUUAGACUUGUUAUUGUUGGUUCAGCUUUCUUUUUUGAAGGUGUAUUCCAAUGGUUAACAGACCAGCAUCAAUUUUUGGGUGUUAGAUAAGGGUCUUGAGAAUGUAGCAAUUUCGGUUGUGUUAUAGCUCUUGACUUUGAUAUAAUGCUUAGGAUUGAGGAACGCAGUGAGCUUUUUAUUAAGUGGAUGCCUUUGGGGAUCUUCUCACUACGGAUGUUGGUGUAAUAGCUUUAAAUGACCCGUCU
rnacentral:rRNA from 1 species